rnacentral:rRNA from 1 species
AGCGAACGCUGGCGGCAGGCUUAACACAUGCAAGUCGAACGCCCCGCAAGGGGAGUGGCAGACGGGUGAGUAACACGUGGGAACGUACCCUUUGGUUCGGAAUAACUUGGGGAAACUCAAGCUAAUACCGGAUAAGCCCUUAUGGGGAAAGGUUUACUGCCGAAGGAUCGGCCCGCGUCUGAUUAGCUAGUUGGUGAGGUAAUGGCUCACCAAGGCGACGAUCAGUAGCUGGUCUGAGAGGAUGAUCAGCCACACUGGGACUGAGACACGGCCCAGACUCCUACGGAAGGCAGCAGUGGGGAAUAUUGGACAAUGGGGGCAACCCUGAUCCAGCCAUGCCGCGUGAGUGAUGAAGGCCUUAGGGUUGUAAAGCUCUUUUACCCGGGACGAUAAUGACUGUACCGGGAGAAUAAGCCCCGGCUAACUUCGUGCCAGCAGCCGCCGUAA